UACAGAGGGUGCGAGCGUUAAUCGGAUUUACUGGGCGUAAAGGGUGCGUAGGUGGUGAUGCAAGUCUGGUGUGAAAUCUCGGAGCUCAACUCCGAAAUUGCACCGGAUACUGCGUGACUCGAGGACUGUAGAGGAGAUCGGAAUUCACGGUGUAGCAGUGAAAUGCGUAGAUAUCGUGAGGAAGACCAGUUGCGAAGGCGGAUCUCUGGGCAGUUCCUGACACUGAGGCACGAAGGCCAGGGGAGCAAACGGG
rnacentral:rRNA from 1 species